rfam:Jonesia denitrificans DSM 20603, complete genome.
UUUGAUCUGCUCUAUGAGGUCUCCUACCGUCAUCUGACGCCACUUCCCCGGUGCCAGAUGGCGACGGUGGGAGCCCUGGUGGAGUAGGUAACUACCA